UUUGGGACUGUUUGUGUUGAUGCUUCUAUCUCACCGGCAUAUACAACCGCUCUAUUUUCGAGGCAUUCAGCAAGGUGCUUCAGAAGUUAAUCCCCGAGCUGCCGACGUUAGAAAACCUCCUCAACAUUUUCAUCUCGAAUUCCGGGAUUGACAAGGCAUUCCUGUUUGAUGUUGUGACCAAAAUGUACAUUGCAACUGGCAAGUCACUUAAUGACUGAUAGCAUCACAUGGGGAAUGUAUCAUAUGGUCACAGUUUGGCAAUGUACUAAGCGAUGGUGCCUAAAUACGUUUUCCGGGAAUG